UUCCACAUCGCCGAUUAACUUGAGGACGUGCAUAUUGUAUGUCUGCACUUGAAGAUACAUCUGCCUCUGUCCUGUAAACUUGUGUGCAUUCUUGUAUCAUGUCCCCACGGCUUACACUUGAUUCGUGUGAUGUAUUUAAUUUAGCAGCACACUGUGCAGCAGACUCAAUUUGAGAGGCCAGAAUUACAGCUUUCUCUAAAGUGAGAUUAUCAUCUUCCAAUAACAGCCGCUCCCGAACGAGUGUAUUGGUUGUUUUCUCAAUCAACUGAUCUCGUAUCAUCUCAUCUGAUAAAGCACCAAAACAGCACGGUUUUGCCAGUCCUCUCAAGUCAGCGACAUAUUAAGCAAUCGACUCACCAGCGCGCUGUCUCCACUGCCGGAACUGCAACCGUUUUAACAGGUUUUUUUCAAAGUGUCGAUCUAACAGUGUAAUCGCAGCGGCGUAAUCGUCCGCAUCUCCGAGUGUGCGAAAUACACGCUGUCCUUCGGCACCAAGACAGUGGAGGAGUAUGGCCAUUUUCCACUUCGUCGGGACGCCAUCGAGGCCCAUUGCUAACAGGUAAGUUUCAAACGACAUUUUCCACUGCUCCCAUGGGACUGUAGGUUCGCCAGGAUGGGGCAAAAAGGGGUUCGGGGGAGAUAGCGACACUGCGGGGAAUUCCUCAGCCAUCCUUGUUGCCAAUUGUUAUGUCUGUAAAGAGGACUCGUAUGUAGCGUAUGAGGCCUGAACCAGACAAAUUAAAGAUUCGAUCGUGAGCAUGGUUGAAACAAGAGAAGCCAAAUUCCUCGGAAAGGCAACAGGAUGCUGUAAAUCAACUCCUAGCACCACAGUCUGAUAACCAACCAACUCUUUCAGAGAACAGCUUUCAACAUUAACACCAUUAGAACAAUUAUUGACAAUUUCAAUUCGAAGAAGAGAUUGUCUAAUUUGGGGCAAGUAAUCGAAGAUCUUUGGAUUGACUUCCCCCCACCUAGCAGAACCAAGACUGUGGUGCUAGGAGUUGAUUUACAACAUCCUGCCUUUCUGUGGAAUUCGGCUCAUGUUUCAACCAGGCUCCCGAUCGAAUCUUUAAUUUGUCUGGUUCAGGCCUCAUACGCUACAGUAGCAAGCUAAUCAUGCUAGUGUCUUGUUAGUAGCAAGCUAAUCAUGCUAGAAACAUGCUAGCAACAUGCUAGUACCUUUCUAAUCAUGCUGGCAACAUGCUAGUAACUUUGCUAAUUAUGCUAAUGAAAUGCUAGUCACUUGCUAGUAACGCUAACAACAUCCUAAUCACUUGCGUUUUUAAACUUCUUAAACUUUUCAAACUUUCUGGUCAGGCUUUCUCAAGCUAACUUAAAGAUUGUCUUGACGAACAUUUUUAUCUAGUUAAGUUGGCUUGAGAAAGCCAGCUUACUGAAAUCCAUCUUAAACUUAUUAAGUUAGCUUGAGAAAGCCAACUUACUGAAAUGCUAUUUAAAAACUCUUCUUCUGAGACUAAAAUUUCUGACUCUAACUCCUCCUAGAGCUUUAACUCUACAGACUCCAAACUCAGCCCAGGUCUUCAGACUGAUCUCACUGAGUGUGCCUUAUCUUUUCUGAUCGGACCUACGGUUUUCAUAAAAAUGAAGAUUAAAAAUCGU
ensembl:lncRNA